rnacentral:rRNA from 1 species
GGAUUAGAUACCCUGGUAGUCCACGCCGUAAACGAUGUCUGCUAGCCGUCGGGUGUUUGGCACUCGGUGGCGCCGCUAACGCAUUAAGCAGACCGCCUGGGGAGUACGGUCGCAAGAUUAAAACUCAAAGGAAUUGACGGGGGCCCGCACAAGCGGUGGAGCAUGUGGUUUAAUUCGACGCAACGCGCAGAACCUUACCAGCUCUUGACAUCCUCAUCGCGGAUAGCGGAGACGCUUUCCUUCAGUUCGGCUGGAUGAGUGACAGGUGCUGCAUGGCUGUCGUCAGCUCGUGUCG